rnacentral:rRNA from 1 species
UCAGACGAUGCGUCAUGCAUAUCAAUAAGCGGAGGAAAAGAAACUAACAAGGAUUCCCUCAGUAACGGCGAGUGAAGCGGGAAGAGCUCAAAUUUGAAAUCUUGAAAGGUCACCUUUCACGAAUUGUAGUUUAAAGAAGUGUUUUCUGUUACGAUCGUAAUAUAAGUUCUUUGGAAUAGGACAUCACAGAGGGUGAGAAUCCCGUCUAUGAUUGCGAUUUGUAGCUUUGUGAUACACUUUCAAAGAGUCGGGUUGUUUGGGAAUGCAGCCCAAAACGGGAGGUAAAUUUCUUCUAAGGCUAAAUAUUGGCGAGAGACCGAUAGCGAACAAGUACCGUGAGGGAAAGAUGAAAAGAACUUUGAAAAGAGAGUUAAAUAGUACGUGAAAUUGUCAAAAGGGAAGCGUUUAACACCAGUGUUGUUUUCUGGAAAAUCAACCUCUGUUAGCUUUAUGCAUGUUUGUUUAGACCUAAUCAGCUAUCUUGCAUGUUCUAUUGUUUGCAGUGGUGCACUUUUCAGUCUACAGGUCAACACUCAGUUUUUUUUUACCGUAAAAAAGUUAAAGAAAGGUAGCUCAUGGCUCCGGUCGUGAGUGUUAUAGUCUUUUUCCUAUGCGGUAGGAGAGACUGAGGUCUGCAGUGUAGGCUAUUUGGCUAGAUACUCAGGUGCUAUGUGAUACCAUUUCAUAAACAACUUGUUGAUUAUGUUUUGUCUAUUGCAUACUCGCUUGUACUAUCAUACCUACGCUUAGGAUGUUGAAGACUCUACAGAGAUA